AAUUUGGACCCACAAACACUCAUAGAAGUUGUUGUUUGACAAUAGAAGAUAUGAUUCUCUGGACUUUAUUCUUUCUAAUUAGUGUUCAUGGAGUCUGGAGUGAGAUCAGACUGGACCAGUCUCCAUCUGAGGUGAAAAGACCUGGAGAGACAGUGAAGAUGUCUUGUAUCAUAUCUGGAUUUGACAUGACAGACUUCUAUAUUCACUGGAUACGACAGAGACCAGGACAAGCUCUGGAGUGGAUCGGGAGGAUGGAUACAGGCAACAACGCUGCUAUCUAUGCCAGCGCCUUCCAGAAUCGUUUCCCGAUGACUGAAGAUGUGUCCAGCAGCACUCAGUACCUCCAGAUCAAGAGUCUGACAGCAGAAGAUUCUGCUGUUUAUUAUUGUGCUCGACAACCACAGUGAGUGAAGUCAGUGAAGCAGCUGCACAAAAACCUCCACAGAUGUCAGAUAACAGAGAGACAUCAGAGACAUCAUGGCUGAACUCAACAAUACUGUAGAUUAUUAAUAAUAUUAUAAAUGCUUUGAAGCCUGUUAUGCUGAAAGUGACUCAUGAGAAAAAGGUUUUAUAGUUGAACAAAUCUCAUUAAUUCAUGUGUCAGAUGUCUGGAUAUUUAAAAUGCAGAUGGUUGUUGUGUGAAAACUGAGUAUGUGUUGUGGUGUUUAAAAUGUAAUUUCAGUUGAUAAAACAUUGAUUAAUGACAUGAUGUGGUGAGAUGGACUCUGAGAUGACAAAGAAGCAGUUUGAACAAAUGCUUGUCACUGAUCACAGCAACACUGUAGAUUCUCUAUAAUACUGUAAAGGCUUUAAGAGGCUGCCUGUUCUGCUCAAACAGAAUACGAGCUCACAAAGUAACAUAUAAAAAUGAAAGUUCUUUGAAAAUGUGUCACAUGUUUGCAUUUUUGUUAAUAUUAAAAUGCAUACAGUUGUGGUUUUGAUGCUACAG